AACGCACAUUGCGCCCCUCGGUAUUCCGGGGGGCAUGCCUGUUCGAGCGUCAUUGCACCCCUCAAGCGUAGCUUGGUAUUGGGCCCUCGCCUCCCCCGGCGUGCCCGAAAAGCAUUGGCGGCCCGCGGUGGUUUCAAGCGUAGUAAUUUUCUCCCGCUCUGCAAACCUCAUCGUGGGCUCGCCAGCAACCCCACACUUUCAAUGAAUUGACCUCGGAUCAGGUAGGGAUACCCGCUGAACUUAA
rnacentral:misc_RNA from 4 species